UAGCAAAGUCUAGACAUUGCCUUAGCC
rnacentral:piRNA from 1 species